CCCCGCGGGCAGAGACGUCUCGUCAGCAGGGCCGCGGUCACGGCGGCGGAGGCGGCGAAUGGCGGCUUGUGGCUGCCCGUGAAGAGGCGGCGGCAGGGCGGCCGGUGGAAGAGAAGCGGCGGCGGCCCGAGUGGGAGGCAGGGGUAGAAGCGAGCACCCGGCGGGAGCGCUGCGGCCCGGGAGGGGCCCAUGGAGGUCGGGCCGCCGCCCCCGGGAGCCCCGGCCUGUUAGCACCUCGGCGGCCCAGCGCAGGAUGUCGGAGAACCCGCCGCCGCCGCCCCCAUCCGGCCCUGGGAACGCCCCGGGCAACGGCCCCGCCAACUCGGCCGGCGGGGCUGGGCCAGGGCCCGGGGGGGCGGCGGCUGGAGGCGGCGGGGCCGGGACCCCCCGUGGGGCGCGCACCCCCAACCUUAACCCCAACCCCAACCCGCUCAUCAACGUGCGCGACCGCCUCUUCCACGCGCUCUUCUUCAAGAUGGCCGUGACCUACUCGCGCCUCUUCCCGCCUGCCUUCCGCCGCGUCUUCGAAUUCUUCGUGCUGCUCAAGGCACUCUUUGUGCUUUUCAUCCUGGCCUACAUCCACAUUGCCUUCUCCCGAACACCUAUUAAUUGCUUGGAGCAUGUGAGAGACAAGUGGCCCAGAGAUGGUAUCCUUCGAGUAGAAAUUCAACAUAACUCCAGCCGAGCUCCGAUCUUCCUCCAGUUUUGUGAUGCAGAGAGCUUCCCAGGCAUGGUAAUAGAGACUGAAGAGGAAGAAGAGGAGGAGGAAGACGAUGAAAUGACAGUAGAAAUGUUUGAGAAUAGCUCAGUCAAGUUUGAGCUGGACAUUGAACCAAAGGUGUUCCUGAAGCCUUCCCGGGUGAGCAACCCUGAAUCAUUGAGUGAGAUGGCCAAGAACCAAAGCCAGGAUAUUUCCUUCACUGAGGCGACGACUAAAGGUAUGCAGCCUCUGAUCGAGACUGUGUCGGAAUUUGAGAUGCUAGCCAGAGCAGUAUGGCCCCAAGAAGAGUACAUAGUGGAAUAUUCCCUGGAGUAUGGAUUUUUGCGAUUGUCUCAGAGCACAAGGCAGCGCCUCAGCAUCCCAGUCAUGGUGGUGACACUGGAUCCCACAAGAGACCAGUGCUUUGGAGACCGAUUUAGCCGUUUACUCCUGGAUGAAUUCUUGGGUUACGAUGAUGUUUUGAUGUCCAGCGUGAAAGCCCUGGCAGAAAAUGAAGAGAAUAAGGGUUUCCUGCGCAAUGUUGUAUCUGGGGAACACUAUCGCUUUGUCAGCAUGUGGAUGGCCAGGACUUCCUACUUUGCUGCCUUUGUCAUUAUGGUCAUAUUUACUCUGUCCGUCUCAAUGCUCCUGCGGUAUUCACACCACCAGAUUUUUGUCUUCAUUGUGGACCUUCUACAGAUGUUGGAGAUGAACAUGACGAUCGCCUUCCCUGCGGCACCCUUGCUCACAGUUAUCUUGGCUCUUGUCGGUAUGGAAGCCAUCAUGUCUGAAUUCUUCAAUGACACCACAACAGCAUUCUACAUCAUUCUCAUCGUGUGGCUGGCUGACCAGUAUGAUGCCAUCUGCUGCCACACAAACACCAGUAAGAGGCACUGGCUGAGGUUCUUCUACUUGUACCACUUUGCCUUUUAUGCCUAUCACUACCGAUUCAAUGGCCAGUACAGCAGUUUGGCCCUGGUCACAUCUUGGCUCUUCAUCCAGCAUUCCAUGAUCUACUUUUUCCAUCACUUCGAGUUGCCAGCCAUCCUCCAGCAGAUCCGCAUCCAGGAGAUGUUGUUGCAGAACCAGCAAAUUGGCCAGGGUACCCAGACAGCCCUGCAGGACAAUCUCAACAAUAACACAGCCGCCGCAGCUAUGGCUCCUGGAAGCCCGGGGCCCUCCCUGCAGAGUGGGAGCAACAACCAGCCAGCCUCUGGGGAUGGGCCUGGCCCUGCCUCUGCCUCUGUUGGGAGCGAACUGAACUGGAUGGCUGAGACGGCCACUAUCUUCACGGACCCUUCAUUCCUCUCUGAUUUGAGCGCCUCCCUUCUGGAGCAGAGAGCAGGACAUGGAACCCUAGCCAAUGGAAGUCCCCCCAGUGUCCCAGCUGCUACCACCUCCCCUGGCCUAGUGGCCCAAAUCCGAGUUAGUGAGAGCCCUGGGGUCACCACCAGCUCCAUCACCAUUGAGGUGACAUCAACAACUCUGGUCACCCCCCAGGCAGAAAGUACAACCCCUGAGCCUUCUGCCCACACCACUGGCGCCCCUGAGUCUCCCACCUCCCCUCCUACCCACACCACUGGCACCCCUGAACCAGCUGCCCCUCUUGCUGAUCAGACUAGGGCUGGUUCACUCUCACUUGGUGGCCAGGACAUUGUUGAUGUCUCCGAGAGCAACCUCUCUGAGGUCCUUGCCCAAAACCCCACCUCAGACAAGUGUAUGAGCUCAGAUCAGACAACACAGGAGAGCCAUCCCUGCUCCAAAGACAACGGUGCCCCCCAAAACAUGCUUUCAGAAGCAGAAUUCAGAAGCCCUUCUUGAGCACUUUUGCUGAUCCUCGAUAGGGCAGAGGGAAUCUCUCUGCUCCUGUCAAACACUGGCUCUUUUUCUUCCCCAACCAGAUUCAGAUGAAUUUUUAAAAUUAUUUUUAAAUCCACCGAGUGAAGGCUGCUUCAGAGAGAGCAACCUUCCAGAAGCAUGGGCCUUACUCACCGGGGGCAAUUGUUCCCUGCUCUGUUUUCCCCCUGGGUCCCAUGGGAAGAUGUGUAACCUGGUCUCGGCAGUCUCCAGAACAGCUGGUUUCUUUGCCUAACUCCUGGCCUAAACCUAUGGGCUUCCUUGCACCACUCUCCUUGGAUUUCUUUCUCCUCUUCAAACUAUUCUUCCCUUCAUUGUCUGGGAGAUGUGCUCCUGCCUCCCUUUGGGGGUGGGGCAGGCCUUGUGGGAGCCCUGGAUAGCAUCUUCCCCAUCUCCUUGCUUUGUGCAAACAUCCCGUUCUGGUGAUUUUUGCCUCUUUUCUCCUAGAGCAAUGAAGCCUUCACCACCAGAGUACUUUUUAUUCCCUCUUUGACUGGAGGAGACACAGAGGGAAACCUCUCUGUUCCACCACUAUUUGGAAAUUGUUUGAAUGGGGUUUUGUCCACCACCAAGUACUCACCGUAUUCUCAAUCCUCCAAGGCAGCAAGAGCUGGGGCUGUGGUGUGGGAUUUAGAAAAGUGCCAAGGAUGGGGAGAGGGAGCAGUUGGGAAGAUGCUUCAUGAAGGGAGCCAAAGCCUGUGUGGGGCAGGGUCCCUGGGCCCCAAUUCAGCACAUUCACUGGCCUGGUACAGAGCAACCAUAGUGUCGGCAAGGAAUUCCUUAGUUUUUGAAGGUCCCAGGAAAGAGGUGGAGAGAAGCAGCCCCUCCUACCCUCAUGCUCCAGAUUGACCCCCUUCCCUCUAAAGCCAGGUGAAGAGCAAGUAGUGAUGAUGUUGGUUGGCAGGAGGUUUGACUUCGGGGUGAGGUGCACAUGGCAAGCAGGAUGGAACAAAAGGCCCCCAGCUGGUGAAGCCCAGCCUUCAGCUGGCACUUGAGGGCCGCAGAAGAAAGAGGAGGGAGGCCUUCGUUGUGAAAGCUCACCGGACUCUUCCCUGUCCGUCCCUUCCCAGGAGUCUCUGCUUGGUGCUUGGAGUUCAGUGCCUUCUCUUGAGCCUGGAGGAUUGCUUAUUCUCCCUGCCUCCUAGCCAUAGCCUGACUUUCCCACCAACUCUUGAGAAGGGCUGGGAGAAUCCUAUGGAGAGAGUGGCAGAUGCAGUAUAAGCCUGUGAUUCUGCCCAGUGGAAAGCAGUGUGGUACCCAUAGGCUACUUCUUCCUCUCUUGGUUGGUGAGGGGGCACCUGCUGUGCUCAGUGACUCAGGUGUUCCCCAUACAGAGUGGUUGCUUCCUGGGAACUAACAGUGGACAGUUGAGGGGGAUGAUUGCCCUAUGCUGCUUGAGGAGUGCGUAUGGGCAUGUGUGGAUGUGCAGAACUCUGGGGAGAAGGCAGUCCCCGGAUGUAUAGAGCUGAGCCAUACGUAAGCAACCUUGUUCAUAGAAGACAGAUUUUGACUUUAGAUGGUCCCCACCCUGUACCCGCUUACCAAGCUGCACCUGGUGAGAUGUGAGAACCCUUGGGGUCCCCAGCUCAGGAAAUGGACAUGAACAGUCACUGGGUCCCAGCCCCCACCAGUCAAAAGGAAUAUAAGAUCUUGGGGAGUCGUGGCCAGUCUCUCAGCCCAAACCCCUCCUUUCGCUGCCACAAGCAGACUUGGACAUCUGACUCGGUCUGCCUAGGCCAUCGGGCUAGUUUGGAAUGAUGAGCCGGAGGCUGAGUGAAUCAACCAAAUCACUUGCAGAUCAGAGCAAGCAUUUCCCAGAAGUGAAGGGGCUGCCCUGACAGGAGUGCUCCACCCUUCUCAGCCGUCUUCCCAGCAGCUUGGAGGCCUUCCUCAGUGUCUCCCUUUGUUCCCAGUGCAGCCCUCUGGGCAGGCCUGUUUCUGGGGAUGCCCUCUACAGCAAUUCCUCAUUGGCAGUGGCUUACAGUCUGCAUCUGGCCUGCUUAACAUCGGUAUUUUCUCUCCAGACUCACAUUUAUGGUGUCUAAAAUAUUUUGAAAAUUAUUAAAUUUUCUGCCAGCUCUUAAA